GGGACACGUGGUAUCCUGUCUGAAUAUGGGGGGACCAUCCUCCAAGGCUAAAUACUCCUGACUGACCGAUAGUGAACCAGUACCGUGAGGGAAAGGCGAAAAGAACCCCGGCGAGGGGAGUGAAAAAGAACCUGAAACCGUGUACGUACAAGCAGUGGGAGCCUCUUAAUGGGGUGACUGCGUACCUUUUGUAUAAUGGGUCAGCGACUUAUAUUCUGUAGCAAGGUUAACCGAAUAGGGGAGCCGAAGGGAAACCGAGUCUUAACUGGGCGUUAAGUUGCAGGGUAUAGACCCGAAACCCGGUGAUCUAGCCAUGGGCAGGUUGAAGGUUGGGUAACACUAACUGGAGGACCGAACCGACUAAUGUUGAAAAAUUAGCGGAUGACUUGUGGCUGGGGGUGAAAGGCCAAUCAAACCGGGAGAUAGCUGGUUCUCCCCGAAAGCUAUUUAGGUAGCGCCUCGUGAAUUCAUCUCCGGGGGUAGAGCACUGUUUCGGCAAGGGGGUCAUCCCGACUUACCAACCCGAUGCAAACUGCGAAUACCGGAGAAUGUUAUCACGGGAGACACACGGCGGGUGCUAACGUCCGUCGUGAAGAGGGAAACAACCCAGACCGCCAGCUAAGGUCCCAAAGUCAUGGUUAAGUGGGAAACGAUGUGGGAAGGCCCAGACAGCCAGGAUGUUGGCUUAGAAGCAGCCAUCAUUUAAAGAAAGCGUAAUAGCUCACUGGUCGAGUCGGCCUGCGCGGAAGAUGUAACGGGGCUAAACCAUGCACCGAAGCUGCGGCAGCGACACUAUGUGUUGUUGGGUAGGGGAGCGUUCUGUAAGCCUGUGAAGGUGGCCUGUGAGGGUUGCUGGAGGUAUCAGAAGUGCGAAUGCUGACAUAAGUAACGAUAAAGCGGGUGAAAAGCCCGCUCGCCGGAAGACCAAGGGUUCCUGUCCAACGUUAAUCGGGGCAGGGUGAGUCGACCCCUAAGGCGAGGCCGAAAGGCGUAGUCGAUGGGAAACAGGUUAAUAUUCCUGUACUUGGUGUUACUGCGAAGGGGGGACGGAGAAGGCUAUGUUGGCCGGGCGACGGUUGUCCCGGUUUAAGCGUGUAGGCUGGUUUUCCAGGCAAAUCCGGAAAACCAAGGCUGAGGCGUGAUGACGAGGCACUACGGUGCUGAAGCGACAAAUGCCCUGCUUCCAGGAAAAGCCUCUAAGCAUCAGGUAACAUCAAAUCGUACCCCAAACCGACACAGGUGGUCAGGUAGAGAAUACCAAGGCGCUUGAGAGAACUCGGGUGAAGGAACUAGGCAAAAUGGUGCCGUAACUUCGGGAGAAGGCACGCUGAUAUGUAGGUGAAGCGACUUGCUCGUGGAGCUGAAAUCAGUCGAAGAUACCAGCUGGCUGCAACUGUUUAUUAAAAACACAGCACUGUGCAAACACGAA
rnacentral:rRNA from 1 species